UAACCGAGGUUAAAAAUAGCCGUUUUAACAUUUCGUCACUAUUUCUAUAUUUGUGUAUUGUUACGACUAUUUGCAACGGGUCCGUCCCAUCACACAAUGCCUAUUCUGUUCAUCUCCCAAGUUCAGACUUGGAGUUUGAGCAACUAAAAUAUCCAUUAUAUAGUAGGCCUAUAGCUUAAUGUGUUAAUUUUGUUCACGCCUGUGGAAGCGCGCACCGGUUCAGAAAUAGCUAAUCAUUUUAGAUGCUUUAUGCUUCCAGUAUGGAAUGUCUGUAGUGCCGGCGUGUCCAAUGGCAUCCGAAGUGACAGUCCGGAGUGCCACUGUUGGCCAGAGGCGCCGCGCACAGCAAUACCUCCACUAGGAUCCUGUGGUUGAUUCUCUGGACAUCAGGGAGUGAAGUAGGGAAUCCUGGGGACCUCUACCUCUAUUGUUUCUUUUCUAUCUUAUGCCAAAUGUAAAAUAGACAGCAUAAAAGGCGUGCAUAAUGCAAUGGAAACGAUGGACACGUCCGACAAAAAUCGAAUUUACCCAAAGUCCACCGUCGUGUUAAAAAAGCGCAUGUCAGAUAUCACGGAUACCACUGGGACGCAAGACGAAUCGAAGUACGUUGAAUUGAAUGAUUUACUUGACAUAGAUACAGACAACACGAACACUGUCACCGGUGAGGGGAGCCAAAUGGCGAUUGACGAGGGCAACCGUGGCUCGAGAGCAGAAGAGAAAACUUCUGGAGACGGAGACCAGAUGAGUAAGGUGACUGAUCAUAUCAACGGCGACAAAUUAAAGGAGGAUAUUAACACAAAGGAGUGUGCCAAGGGCUAUCUAUCAGGGUUUAUUGGAACUGUCUGCUUCUCUGAGGUUCCUAACCUGAAUGAAAACAUGAUGGACUCUCCCGAAUCCCCUAGAUACGUUGGUAAUAGGGAGGUCACCGCGGAGUGGAUACCGGAAAAGGACGCGUUUGAGGAUGUAGAAAAUAUGCCAAUUGACAAUGAAGAUUUACAAUACACUGACAUGUUAAACGGGAAAAAUGAGUCGGAUGAUGAUGUGAGCUUGGUGCUGACCGGUGAUUGUGAAGAUUGCGUGCCUUGCAGUACCGUGGAGGAUGAGCCUCAUUACAUAACCACGCACGAGAUCCAGCUCUCCGAGCUUUCAGAUCACGAUGUCGAUAAUGAUAUCGGACAGGAGUGGGAUGAUAACCAGAUCUACUCUUUCGUAGAUUAUGCUGCUUUUGACGGUGAUGGAACGAUGGCAGGAAGAGAGAAGAGGGUGAAAAGCAAUCAGGGUCAGGCUAAUAGCGGUGCGGCAGUCAGCACUAAGCUGGAAAGUGAUCUCGGGGACAGGGACAAGUGCGCCAUCUCAGAUGAAAGUCUGUCAAAGAACCAAAAUAAUGUUAUAGGACAGAUCCACCUGUCAAUCAAAACGACUUCUCGAGCUAUAAAUGAGCCUAGCGACGUCCAAGAAAAUGAAAAUAUUACUUAUCAUGCCAAGCACGCCGGAGACAUGAGUCGCUACGUUUUUAGAGGAGCUGGUGAUGUAAAUACGGAGAAUGCCUGUGAUAGCGCUAAGUGUUUCAUAGCCGCCCCCGGUCGCUUGCACUUUGGCAAGAAUUUAAAAGGCAAAGAUGUUAACGACUAUUCCAGCGGUGCGUCCAGCGCCGUCAGUGAACUUGACGAUGCGGAUAAGGAAGUGCGCAACUUGACUGCCAGAGCGUUCAAGAGUUUAGCAUACCCAUAUUUUGAUGCCAUCAAUUUCAGUACCUCCAGCGAGUCCUCCGCCUCCGAGCUGGGGUUGAACAGGUGGUCAACUUUUGUUGACCUUAAAUAUGGCAACAUGAACAUGUCUCAGGGACGCGAACCAAACACAGGGUCUCAUAAAAGUUCCACGUCAUCCUCUGAAAUUGCUAAGAAUAAAGACAAUAAAGGAUAUAAGGGUUUGGCAUUGGCUAGUACUAAACCGCCCCCGAACAAGCUCUUUGCAUUGAAUGGUGCACUUUCUGGUCCCUAUAACGCAUCUUCUGCAGCAAAGAAACUUGAGCUUAUGGGAAAAUUUGGGACGGGGCACGGUGGAGUUAUCACGCUCACAGAAACAUUCAAUAUUCGUUGUAAUGUCAAAUCAGGGCUGCCUGGGAGUGAAAGGCGCUCGAAAUUUGCACAAAACGUAACAGGAUCACGUUCCACAGAUGAAGUUACCAGCACCUUGCCAAGCGGCCAGGGGAAUGAGGCCAGCAAGCAACCCUGUAAUGCAGGGGAAACCAUGGAAGGCACACACAAGAAAGCAAUAUUCGCCUCGAGCCUUCUUAAAAAUGUAAUUUCUAAGAAAAUGCAGUUUGAGCAAGAGCGCAAAAUGGAGAGGGGGGAGAUACGCGAGUCCUAUCACGCUCCAUCUCACUGCCUUCUCCGACAAGAGCCUGAAAUUGCGCACAUGGAGAGGGAGAGGGCUACACCGAAAGAGUCCAAUGAUUUCCAAAGGCAAAGCCCGAAAUACUCAGAGGCGAGUUCUGACUUAACUAUUGUUUGUGUCGAUGAACUAGGGGACUUAGUGGACACUAGCUCGUGCGAUGCCAAGGACGAAUGUCGGAGACAAGACACUUUAACUCUUGCACCAGAAACGAAUUUAGCGUCGACAAAUAAAGUAGAAUUCGAUACUAAAAAAGGAGCAUUCGAAGUGGCCAACAACACACUGCUACGCAGCCAAAAUAGCGCAUUCAGAUCCUGGAGGGACGGUGAGCUAGAGUUUCAAAAGGAACAUAUCAACGAUAAAACUCCGCAGGGGAAACCGUCUUCGUCCAACGACAACCAGGGGGAAACGGACUUGUACACCGAUUCAGGCAACAGUGAGCUAACCAAAAUGUUACAUUUGUUUGUGCCAAGUAUCCAACAACUGUCCAAUGAGAGAGAAGUUUCAAAGCAGCUGCCGACUAUGAAUUAUUCGACCCGCGCUGCCGCGGAUCAAGGAGAGGGAGGAGGUAUGAAAUUACGCGCCAACAACACCCAAUACGUCGCUGGUCCGAGGAGUGUGGUAACAUCCAAAUCACCCGAAAUUAAAAUCAGUUUACGGAGUGUAAAAGAAAACAAAAGCGACCCGUUCAACGUUGCAAAGCUGGUGCCUUCCAAUAUAGGCUGCAACUCAGUCAACCUGAAAAAGGCAGGCGACGAGUCCAGAUGUCAAGCGCUCGCCGCAGCGUUGAAGGGUGAGUCCUCCGAAAAAGUACCACACUUCACGGUCAGAGACAUACGAGACCACAGGGGCAAGCUGCAAACACAUAUACACCAAGUUAGAGACGUGCGUAAAUUGGUUAAAAGUUCUUAUCACUUUGUGUCGUUGGAUAAUAACGCCACCGCCGGCGACCUUAACUCAGAUCAAAAGCUUUUCAAACAGGGGUCUUAUCGAAACCCUGCGUCGCUUUCCCCCAUAGUAAUAAAGUGUCAGUCUGUGAAUACCAAUACCAAUGGGAAUGGGAUGCAAUCUGGAAAUCUAAUUGGGUAUUCUAAAUCUAGACUCAACGAGGAUUUAUUUGAAGUUGACAGGUCAUCACCCCAGCAAGAGGGCACCAAAAGCGACUUCCACCAACCGACAUGGAGAGCGCCAUUAUACAAUACAAAACAACUGAAAGGUGAUUCUUCUGAAGGCCCCAUUGGACUUGUAAUUGAAACCAGAACAGCUUCUAGAAGACAGGAUAAAACACCUGACAUUGGUGACAAGACAAAACCUGAGUGUAAAAUGUCCAACGUGGGUGCCUUCGAGAAAUUACAGGCUGCAGUCAAAACCAUGGAGCAGUUGUAUGUUUUUGAUAGAAAUGAGUGGAAGAGGAAAUCAGAGCCACACUCCAUAUUAUCAGACAGUCAUCUGCUCUCUCUCAUAUCCAGCGAGGAGCAUGGGCCAGAGGAGGAAGGAGUGAAUGUGGCCAAUACCAUGACCGUGCCAACAUUUAACAUGGACAAGCUCAUCCGGAGAGACUCAUACCUUAACUCUGACAAAUCCCUGCCUGCUACGACCGCCUUGCCCGUUUGCGAAAAGACACCACCCAAACGAGAGGAGAAAGAACCCCUGAAGACUUUUCACAUUCCCAUCAGCCAGGAUGUGCCCAAAUCCCUGGCUCAGCUCGGUGGAACACCAAUGGGUACCAAUAAUGUGUUUAAUGUCAGCUCCAUGGCUUCAGGAAACCCCCCCACAAAUAACAAUAACAAGGCAUCAUCACAACCACAUGCUGCAUCACAAUCACCUUACUGCAAAGGCUUCAGCCCAGUGUCUCCUAAACUUCCGGUGUCAGUGAAAAUCUCCCAGCAGCUCAGAAAGGCAGAGGAGAGACAGAGAGUGAGACAGAGGGAGAGACAGAGGGAAACGGCCAACAGUAUGAAGGCAGACAUGCCCUUCCAGUUCAGCAGAGCUUCAGUCGAGCACGAAAACUAUCUCACCAUCCCCGUCAAGUCUCAUGCCACCAGCGUCAAGCAAACCGCUGUGUCCGCUGGCGGUGGAUGCGAGAAGACAGCAAUUUACACCGUCCCCGCCACUGGCGCCAAGACCCAGAUGGCCAGCCCACCCGGUUAUUGUGGCGCCAGGAGGCAGGAAGAGACCCGACUUUCCCCACAGAAACGCUCCACCAUCGUGAUGGAGACGAGAGCCCAGGACACGCCAACUGCCACCAUCUACCACAUGCCCAUGGCUCAGAGCAUGGCGUCCACCCAACCACAGAUGUACUGCUUUUCCCCAACCAUGUCCCCACAAGCCAUCCCCCAGAUCGACCACUACCAGCGCACCCAGAGAAAGAUGCUCUUUGACCCCAGUACAGGGAACUGCUACCUGGUGGACACCCCCGUCCAGCAGGCCACCCGCCGCCUCUUCGACCCCGAAACGGGCCAGUAUGUGGACGUGCCCAUGUCCCAGCAGCCCAUGUCUCCCAUGUCCAUGUCCAUGCCCCAAAUGCCGCCCAUGCCCAUGCCCCAAAUACCACCCAUGCCCAUGCCCAUGCCCAUCUCACCUUUAGCCCUGAGUCCCGGCUCCUAUGGCCCCACCUACAUGAUCUACCCAGGCUUCAUACCCGCCAUGCCCAGCACGCCUACCCUGAUCCCCACUAGAAUGCAGUCGCAGCUCUCCAUGCCGUUGGAGCAGGAAGACUCCGGAAACAAAGGCGGUUCCUCCCAGCCAGACUACAUGGACAUGGAGAGUCCUUACUACAUGGCCACAGGGUCUGGGAAGUCUCCCUUGGCUGGAGGCUCCAGUAUGGGCCACGUCCAGCAGCAGGGCAGGCCGGGGGUCCAGGGCUUCACCUCCCAGCAGGGACCACGCAUCAUCGCCCCGCCCUCUUUCGAUGGGACCACCAUGAGCUUUGUGGUGGAGCACAGGUAAACGGCAGGACCUGUCACAUGAUACGAGUGACUUUUGACGUGUCCUGAUGUGUUCUGGGCCCUCCAGUGCCACUAACCCUACCGUCUGGACUAUUUGGUUCAGGGGCAUCACGGUUCUUGGUCAUCAAUGCCGGUCGUCAUGGUCAUCACGGUUCUUGGUCAUCAAUGCCGGUCGUCAUGGUCAUCACGGUUCUUGGUCAUCAAUGCCGGUCGUCAUGGUCAUCACGGUUCUUGGUCAUCUCAACCGACAGGAUUGUUAUUGCCUCACCUUUCUGAAGUAGGCUACCACUCUAUCCCCCUUUCUUUUCUUAACAACUCUGUGUUACAUUUGGGAGUUUGGCAGAAAUGUUUACUAGUUAAUGUAGUUUUUUACCAUGUGCUGUAUAUUUUAUUUACAUGUUUGAUUUUUGGGUCAUUUUGAUUUGGUAUUGCAAUACUCAUGCAAUGCAAUAUAACCUCAUGCAAUCGUUCUCACAGGCAUUGUCAUGAUACAUCAUUUUAAUCUGUACAUUGAAUGAAUAAUAGUAAUCAUGUAUUUUCACAUAAGAAGAGCAUGAUUGUCAAACCCACCCUCCAUUGGUUAUUAAUAAGAUUAGGCUCCAAAUCCAUUCUUGUGGGACCCCCAGCACUGCCCCUUUGAUCUAGCCCAGCAUUAACACACCUGUGCCAACAAAUCAAGGGUUGAGGAGUUAAAUCAGGUGUGUAAGUGCUGAGCUAAAAAUAAGUGCUCUCUGAGAGGUUCCUAGGAAUGGAUUGGGAAACAUGUUGUCGGCAUUUUCUUUGUCGCAUUCUCCACACUAGAGGUCUAUGUUCUAAAAUGCACAACUUCCGGAAGGGUGCAGGUUGUCCCAUUUAUUUCUUUAGCAAGUACAUGAGGCAUGACAGCACACUUGGACAGCACACUUGAACUAAAGUCCUCAGGAGAAUGGAAGAGGGCUUAUAUCUCUCUUUGUAUCUUUGUUGACCUUGAUCUGAUCCUGUACUUGGCUUCCUCCCUUCUCUCUGUUACGGUGCCACCUGCUGUUUGCUUUCUCCCUGUUGGCAGAAGCGGAAGGAGAAGAGGCAGAAGAGGAGCCUUGAGAGGAAGACCCAGGGGGAGGAGGGAGGGGAGUUUGUGGCUGGCCGGAAGCGUUUGAGGAAAGAGGUGAAGCCCAGCAGCCCCCUGAGACUGGUGAUAGACUGCAGCUUCG